GCCUACGGGGGGCAGCAGUAGGGAAUCUUCCACAAUGGGCGAAAGCCUGAUGGAGCAACGCCGCGUGGGUGAAGAAGGUCUUCGGAUCGUAAAACCCUGUUGUUAGAGAAGAAAGUGCGUGAGAGUAACUGUUCACGUUUCGGCGGUAUCUAACCAGAAAGCCACGGCUAACUACGUGCCAGCAGCCGCGGUAAUACGUAGGUGGCAAGCGUUAUCCGGAUUUAUUGGGCGUAAAGGGAACGCAGGCGGUCUUUUAAGUCUGAUGUGAAAGCCUUCGGCUUAACCGAAGUAGUGCAUUGGAAACU
rnacentral:rRNA from 1 species